rnacentral:rRNA from 1 species
GAUGAACGCUGGCGGCGUGCCUAAUACAUGCAAGUCGAGCGAACAGAUCAGGAGCUUGCUCCUUUGACGUUAGCGGCGGACGGGUGUGUAACACGUGGGUCACCUACCUAUAAGACUGGAAUAACUCCGGGAAACCGGGGCUAAUGCCGGAUAACAUUUAGAACCGCAUUGUUCUAUAGUGAAAGAUGGUUUUGCUAUCACUUAUCGAUGGACCCGCGCCGUAUUAGCUAGUUGGUAAGGUAACGGCUUACCAAGGCAACGAUACGUAGCCGACCUGAGAGAGUGAUCGGCCACACGGGAACGGAGACACGGUCCAUACUCCUACGGGAGGCAGCAGUAGGGAAUCGGCCGCAAUGGGCGAGAGCCUGACGGAGCAACGCCGCGUGAGUGAUGAAGGUCUUCGGUGCGUAAAACUCUGUUAUUAGGGAAGAACAAAUGUGUAAGUAACUGUGCACGUCUUGACGGUACCGAAUCAGAAAGCCACGGCUAACUACGUG